rnacentral:rRNA from 1 species
GACGAACGCUGGCGGCGUGCUUAACACAUGCAAGUCGAACGGAAAGGCCCUGCUUUUGUGGGGUGCUCGAGUGGCGAACGGGUGAGUAACACGUGAGUAACCUGCCCUUGACUUUGGGAUAACUGCAGGAAACCGGGGCUACUACCGGAUAGGAGCUCCUGCUGCAUGGUGGGGGGUGGAAAGUUUCGGCGGUUGGGGAUGGACUCGCGGCUUAUCAGCUUGCUGGUGGGGUAGUGGCUUACCAAGGCUUUGACGGGUAGCCGGCCUGAGAGGGGGACCGGACACAUUGGGACUGCGACGAGGCCCAGACGCCUACGGGAGGCAGCAGUGGUGAAUAUUGCACUAUGGGCGGAAGCCUGAUGCAGCAACGCCGCGUGCGGGAUGACGGCCUUCGGGUUGUAAACCGCUUUCGCCUGGGACGAAGCGUGAGUGACGGUAAUGGGUAAAGAAGUACCGGCUAACUACGUG